UUAUUUUAAUUGACAAAUACAUAUUGAACACAUAUGGUGUAUAGCAUGAAGUUUUGCAAGUAUGUCUGUCUGCACUGUGGAAUGGCUAAAUCAAGCCAAUGAACAUCUACACUACCAUACAUCCUUAUUGAUGAAGAGAAUGUAGCAGGAUGAGCUGCAGACAAAACUCUUGAGACACUGGAUUAAAGAAGGAAGAGGUUUUUAUUUGGCCGGUAGCAUUGGCAGACUCAUGUCUUAAGAGCCAAGCUCCCCCAAAAAGAAAUUCCUAGCCCUUUUAAGGGCUUACAACUCUAAGGGGUCCACGUGAAAGGGUCAUGAUAGAUCAAGUAAGCAUGAGGAAUGUGACUGGAGGCUACAUAUAUCAGCUAACAGAACAAAAAGUUUUACAGUGCUUUCUCAUACAAUGUCUGGAAUUUACAGAUAGUACCAGUAGUUUUUAUCGGUAAUAAGAAAAAGGAUGGCUUAAUAGUGCCAAUAACACAACUGUCUGCCCAUUCAUUAGGUAACUGAAUGUAGGCUCUCUGCCCACAUAUCCAGUAUAGUCCAGCGAGAGCCAUCCAGUCCUGAUGAGAUCCUGGACAAGCCCCCAUUAUAUCAGGAGCUGGAUCAGUGGGCACCAACUCUCAGGCUUCCCAAGGCCAUCGGUCUCUGAUAGUGGUUCCCCCGCAUAUAUAACAAGAAGUAACAUUAAGGGAAUGAGCUACAUUUUCUGCUAAUUGGAGAAACAAAUUUUUUAUCUUUUUCAGAAGUUCUGGUGCUGGCAGAUUUAACUCCUCAUAAAAGGUUUGAAACACUGGUUUGGGAGAGUGCUUGUGGACCUCCCCUUGAACUAAAAUGGCAACUUGGGGGUUUAACCCUGUCCCUUUGAUCCCCAGGGUUACACAUCCUGUUCCUAGCUUGUUACUAUUAAUGGCUGCACAAGCGUCAAAUCUUAAAGUUACUUGUUUGGGGAUUCCUUUUUCUUCUGUUCUAGUUAUUAUUUCACUUGUAUCACCUAGGAAAAGGCCAGUUCUUAAUCUUAUUUCAAAACUGGUGGUUGUAGGGGGCUCAGAUGGGUUAUAACACACAUCAGGUCAGUCAUUUCCUGGGCUACAUACCUUGUACUGAGUGGCAUUAUACAAACAAGUCUCUUUUAACGUUCCCAUACAUUGAUAAUAACUAUAGAACAGAAAGAUUGUUUUCAUUUGCUGUCCUACCUCACUGACCUGAUGAAUACACUGGGAAUAGUCCCCAGUUUGAGUAAGAACAGUUGAAGCCCUUACUGUAAGUCCAAAAUUUAAGAAAAAUGAAGCCCACAAUGAGCUUCCUCAUGCUUCGGCUGUGCGUGGACCAGUCAGCUUCUGGGUGUGACUGGAGCAGGGCUUGUCAUCUUCUUCAGGGUCACUCUGCAGGGGUUGUCCAGACUUGGUCUUGCCUCCCAGGAUUCAGGCGCUGCAGGUUUUACACGGUUGUGAUGGAUCCAGGCUAGGAUUCUCUCUACGUUCACAGCAGUGGGAGUGAUCAGGACGACAGUCUGGGGUCCUUUCCACCAUGGGCACAAAGAGGCUACGUUCC
rnacentral:lncRNA from 1 species